ACCCGCUGAACUUAAGCAUAUCAAUAAGCGGAGGAAAAGAAACCAACAGGGAUUGCCCUAGUAACGGCGAGUGAAGCGGCAACAGCUCAAAUUUGAAAUCUGGCUCUCGGGCCCGAGUUGUAAUUUGUAGAGGAUGCUUUUGAUGCGGUGCCUUCCGAGUUCCCUGGAACGGGACGCCAUAGAGGGUGAGAGCCCCGUCUGGUUGGAUGCCAAAUCUCUGUAAAGCUCCUUCGACGAGUCGAGUAGUUUGGGAAUGCUGCUCUAAAUGGGAGGUAUAUGUCUUCUAAAGCUAAAUACCGGCCAGAGACCGAUAGCGCACAAGUAGAGUGAUCGAAAGAUGAAAAGCACUUUGAAAAGAGAGUUAAAAAGUACGUGAAAUUGUUGAAAGGGAAGCGUUUAUGACCAGACUUGGGCUUGGUUAAUCAUCUGGGGUUCUCCCCAGUGCACUUUUCCAGUCCAGGCCAGCAUCAGUUUUCGCCGGGGGAUAAAGGCUUCGGGAAUGUGGCUCUCUCCGGGGAGUGUUAUAGCCCGUUGCGUAAUACCCUGGCGGGGACUGAGGUUCGCGCAUCUGCAAGGAUGCUGGCGUAAUGGUCAUCAACGACCCGUCUUGAAACACGGACC
rnacentral:rRNA from 1 species